rnacentral:rRNA from 1 species
CAAUAGCGUAUAUUAAAGUUGUUGCGGUUAAAAAGCUCGUAGUUGGAUUUCUGCUGAGGACGAUCGGUCCGCCCUCUGGGUGAGUAUCUGGCUCGGCCUUGGCAUCUUCUUGGAGAACGUUACUGCACUUGACUGUGUGGUGCGGUAUCCAGGACUUUUACUUUGAGGAAAUUAGAGUGUUUCAAGCAGGCGCACGCCUUGAAUACAUUAGCAUGGAAUAAUAAGAUAGGACCUUGGUUCUAUUUUGUUGGUUUCUAGAGCUGAGGUAAUGAUUAAUAGGGAUAGUUGGGGGCAUUCGUAUUUAACUGUCAGAGGUGAAAUUCUUGGAUUUGUUAAAGACGGACUACUGCGACAGCAUUUGCCAAGGAUGUUUUCAUUGA